UACGUAGGGGGCCAGCGUUGUCCGGACUUACCGGGCGUAAAGCGCGCGCAGGUGGACAUGUAUGUGCCGUGUGAAAGCGCCGUCCUUACGAUGGCGAGGUCGUGGUAGACAGCAUGUCUGGAGGCUCGAAGAGGUCGAUGGAAUUCCGGGUGGAGCGGUGAAAUGCGUAGAGAUCCGGAGGAACACCAGGGGCGAAAGCGGUCGACUGGUCGAGUUCUGACACUGAGGCGCGACGGCGUGGGGAGCAAACCGG
rnacentral:rRNA from 1 species